rnacentral:rRNA from 1 species
CCUACGGGGGGCAGCAGUGAGGAAUAUUGGACAAUGGGCGCAAGCCUGAUCCAGCCAUGCCGCGUGCAGGAAGACGCAUCUAUGGUGUGUAAACUGCUUUUGUACGGGAAGAAACACUCCUACGUGUAGGAGCUUGACGGUACCGUAAGAAUAAGGAUCGGCUAACUCCGUGCCAGCAGCCGCGGUAAUACGGAGGAUCCAAGCGUUAUCCGGAAUCAUUGGGUUUAAAGGGUCCGUAGGCGGUUUAAUAAGUCAGUGGUGAAAUCUGGUCGCUCAACGAUCAAACGGCCAUUGAUACUGUUAGACUUGAAUUAUAAGGAAGUAACUAGAAUAUGUAGUGUAGCGGUGAAAUGCUUAGAUAUUACAUGGAAUACCAAUUGCGAAGGCAGGUUACUACUUAUGGAUUGACGCUGAUGGACGAAAGCGUGGGGAGCGAACAGGAUUAGAUACCCCAGUAGUC